rnacentral:lncRNA from 1 species
GCCCUCCUCCUGGCCCCCGCCCGUCUCCUCGGAGCUGGCCCGAGGGCGGGGCGCGCAAAACCCCUUGAGCGCGUCGUCCUGCACCGUCCUGGCCCAGGACUUUAGCUGCCGGAUCGCUCCGGAGCCGAGGACCUCCCCGCGCCCCCCGCCGUCUGGGCCUCCAGGGCCGCCAAGCGAGGGUUCACAGCUGCCCGCACAUCCCGGGUCUCCCCCGCCCCAUUCUAGCCGCCCAGUUUGCCCCCUUCGGGCGAAAGUGAGGAUAAGCUGACGCUUUCCCUCAACUUCUCUGGGAGAGAGAGCCGGAGCCCCACACACUGGCUUCAGUGUCCCAGAACACUCAGCAGGAGGAGAGAACGAUUUAAGAAACAAUUUGGUUCGAAAGGCCAUGGUGAAAAUCAGCCAUUUGUACAGCUGAGACGUGGUUGUGUUUAACCCAGAGGACCUCGCUUUCAGGGAAAAAAGAAAAAGAAGAAAAAAACCUGAUGCGGCCUUUCAGACAGCGCCAAUGAGAAGAAUGUGUGAUUGGAAGCCCCGAGAACCAGCACAGGUCUUUUAAAUAUUAGAGAGAGAGUGGCGUGGCCGGGAGGAUCCCUAGCCCACAGGAGUGAGUCUGGCAGCUCCUGAAGUUUGGGGUACUCAGAAUCGGGGGGGGGGGGGGUAAUGACACAAGACCUGAAAAGAUCAUCUCAGUCAUCUCCCACGCUGGAGGAUUUGAGGAUGCACAGUCUCUUCCAAAACCAGGGCCAGGAGGAGUGGGAGGAGCUUUCUCAAGGGAGAAGAAGCAUAAGGAGAGACAAGAGUCUCUCUCCACCCCACAUACUUCCCAUAAACCACAGUGUCAGGCUCUAAAAGUAUCCCUGAUGCUCUAAAGUCAACUGAGAAACCAGUUCCAGGGGUUAAAACUUGUCUGAGAUAACAACUAAAUUCUAUUUGAUUUCCCACUAUUGGUCAUCUGCUGGGAAUGAGGCAUAAGCCCAGCUCUGUCACAUGGAGGAAAAACAUGAUGCAAUUAACCAAGUUGCUAGUGCAUCAUCUCAUCCUGACCUCUGCCACCAGCCUCCAUCCAGGCCAUCCCCUGCAAUCCCACACAGCCAGCUGGGCCCCUGGGGGCCAUCCCAGCCCUCCUCCUGGGUUCCCUUCCCAGGUCCAACUGAGGAUCUUCGUGUGAAGCUCACCUCAGGUACCUAUGUCUGAAUCCCACCAGCAGUGCAAAGACCCUUCCUGGAGGGGAAAGCUCAAGAAACAUCUCAAGUGAAGGAAACUGCUACCUGAAAAUAAGGAGGUCCAGGGCAGAGGUGGAAGCCUCUGGUCCUUUUUCCCUGUUGCUGAGAGUGGCCUUGGAAACCCUCAGUAAUACUCUGUACACCCAGGAGGCCGUACACCCAGGGAGGCCAGAAGAGGUCGACAGAAAUAGUUUCCAUCAAAAAAAAAAAAAAAAAAAGAAAGAAAGAAAUAGUUUCCAUCUCAAUAUCCUGUGUUUUCCUUUCUCAGAAACCAGAGCAGCUCCACAGCCCAGGCCUGGAGGGGAAGCCAGAGGGAGUUUAUGCAGCAGGAGCCCUGGGCCGGCCCCGCCCGGCUGCCUGCCUGACUGAGGGCUGCCUCUGCAGUUGAGUCGUCCCCAUCCCCUGGGGGACUGUUUUCUCUAAUAAUCCUUUAAUAUUAGGAAAUAUCUGUCAGUGUUUACAAUUUCCUGAAUGUCUUCAAUUUGCUCCCUUUUUUGUGAUGUUUGUUUGAAUGAAGAAUCUAAAGAUCUGUACAUUGUCAUUGAUAGAUAUAUCUCUGAAAUCCUUUGUAGUUUAGUUUACCCUCUAAGUAAAUCCUCUCUCCACUUUUUUAAUGAAAAAAAAGUGUCCUUUUUAAUGAAAGCAAAGUAAGGUUGUUUAUGCUGCAGUUUCCCAAACCUGAAUUUUUAAAAUUAAAACACAGUAAAGUCCUUGAAGAACCCUCUCUUCCUUGUGUAGCCUGUAAACUGGCAAUUACAUCCAGAGGCCAGAUUCAGAUUUGAUUAUAAUUAAUAUCUCUCUCUCUCUCUCUCUCUCUCUCUCUCUCUCUCU